GAUGAAGAACGUAGCGAAAUGCGAUAAGUAAUGUGAAUUGCAGAAUUCAGUGAAUCAUCGAAUCUUUGAACGCACCUUGCACCCUUUGGACUGCUCCAAAGGGUAUGCUCGUUUGAGUGUCAUUGUACUCUCACACUCUCUGAUCCUUUGGAUUUGGGGAGCAGUGGACUUGGGUGCUUGCUGCUUCCUUGUGGCUCACCUGAAAUGCAUCAGUGCAUCUCUCGAUUGGACAUAGUACGGCGUGAUAAGUGUCUUCGCCGGCACCUCAUAUGAGGGUGGCCGAUCGGGAGCUCUGUGCUUUCAAACCGUCUUCGGACAACGCUGACAACUUGACCUCAAAUCGAGUAGGACUACCCGCUGAACUUAAGCAUAUCAAUAAGCGGAGGA
rnacentral:misc_RNA from 1 species